rnacentral:rRNA from 1 species
UACGUAGGGUGCAAGCGUUGUCCGGAAUUAUUGGGCGUAAAGAGCUCGUAGGCGGUCUGUCGCGUCGGAUGUGAAAACUCGGGGCUCAACUCCGAGCCUGCAUUCGAUACGGGCAGACUAGAGUUCGGUAGGGGAGACUGGAAUUCCUGGUGUAGCGGUGAAAUGCGCAGAUAUCAGGAGGAACACCGGUGGCGAAGGCGGGUCUCUGGGCCGAUACUGACGCUGAGGAGCGAAAGCGUGGGGAGCAAACAGG